rnacentral:lncRNA from 1 species
GUGUCGGUAAUUGUAUUUCUUAAAAUUCAUUUGUAAUUUCUUGAUAAAAUCAUUAGUAAAAUGGACAUUUUUUUUUUGCUAAAUUUUAUGAUAAAUUUAUUAUAAAUUAAAUGAUAAUGGAUAAGUAAAAUGAAAAAAGAAAAAGGGAAGAAGGAGGUGAAGGAGGAAGAGGAGGAGGAGGGGGAUAAGAAGGUGAUAACAGUUUCAAUAAUGGAGAUGAUAAAAAGGAAAGUAGGAGGAGGAUGAGGAGAAGCCAAACGUAGAAGGUAGCUGACAUGGCGAUGACAAAUGCGACAAUGAUGGAGGAAAAAAAGGAAGAAGAAGAAGAAGAAAAGGAUAAAGAGGAAGAAAACGAGGAGGAUGAAGAGGAGAAAGACCAAAUCAUUGUAUUUACUAACGAAAAAUUUUUUGUUGUUAAUUAUUGACAAAUAUUUAUCAACAAAUAAUUACCGAUAUAUUUUGAUUGUAAGUAAUUAUCACUAAUAGACUUUUUACCAUAAGUAGUUAUGAUGUAUUUUUCUAUCUAUCAAUAAUUUAUAUCAACAAACAUAUCACUGAUGGAUUCAGAUAGUCGAUAAAUUAUUUUUUUUGUAACGGAGGAAACCAUACGGGUUUAACUUUUAUAAUUUGGCUUUUAAACGAUAUUAGAGCCCAAAUUAGGUCCAUAAUGGUGAAUUUCCACCACAUCUUGAAUCUCCCUUUUAAUCCUUUCAAGAAUCUAACUAUUGUAGCCAUAGGUGUUUCUACCACAUCAAAUUUCAUCAAGGUGACCUCUAUUGAGACAAAACCGUCUAAAGAAACGAGGUCGUUUAG